rnacentral:lncRNA from 1 species
UGGUGAUCUAACUGGUGGGAGGUCAGGACAUCCCAUCAGAAGGUGGUGAUCUAACUGGUGGGAGAUCAGGACAUCCCAUCAGAAGGUGGUGAUCUAACUGGUGGGAGGUCAGGACAUCCCAUCAGAAGGUGAUCUAACUGGUGGGAGAUCAGGACAUCCCAUCAGAAGGUGAUCUAACUGGUGGGAGAGCAGGACAUCCCAUCAGAAGGUGGUGAUCUAACUGGUGGGAGAUCAGGACAUCCCAUCAGAAGGUGGUGAUCUAACUGGUGGGAGGUCAGGACAUCCCAUCAGAAGGUGGUGAUCUAACUGGUGGGAGGUCAGGACAUCCCAUCAGAAGGUGGUGAUC